UUUUCACUUUUUUAUUUCUUUCAUUUUUUUUAUUUUAUUAUUAUUAUUAUUAUUUUUUUAUUUUUUUUUUUUACAUUUCUUUAUUUGUUUUUUACAUCUCUUUACAAUUGUGCACUUCUGUUUUAUAAACACAAAUGUACACCGUCAUAUGAAUAUAACAUAUGUCAAAACAAUUUACGUACUCAUUACUCGUUUUUAUGUCAAAUUGGUAAUAAAUAUUUUUGUUAAUUAUAUUCAAAACUUAUUCUAUCAUAGUUGUCAUUGUUUGUUCAUAAAUUUGUUAUAAAUUGUAAACUAAAUAAAAGAGAGUAAACUUAAGGAUAAACACAUAUACAAAAUAUUUUUAUGUAACUUUUUUGUUUUUGUUUUUAAAAUGAAAAUUAUACUACUUUUACUUUUUUCUCUGUGCUAUGUUAAUGCAUUUAAGAAUUUUAUAAACGAUGGAUUGUCGUUUCAAAGAGUUAAUAAAAAUAAGAAAAUAUAUUUUAGAAGAAAAAAUAGUAGAAACAAGUUUACUCAAAAAUAUAGAACAAUAAAUUCAUUAAAUGCCUUGGACGAUGACGUUAAAAAAGUUAUAGCAAAACAGUUGUCUGUUGAUGAAGAUAAAAUAAAAAAUGAAUCAAAUUUUAUAAAAGACUUGGGAGCAGACAGCCUUGAUUCUGUAGAACUAAUUAUGGCCUUAGAAGAAAAAUUUAAUGUGACAAUAUCCGACCAAGACGCUCUUAAAAUUACCUCUGUUCAAGAGGCCAUUGAUUUUAUUGAAAAAAAUCAAAAAAAAGAUACUUAAUAAAAUAAUAAAAUUAGUUUGUUUAACA
rnacentral:lncRNA from 1 species